rnacentral:pre_miRNA from 1 species
ACGUCUAUCACCUAGGAAUCUUGUUAACAUGUAGAUUCUGACAGCAUAGGUCUGAGAUAUGAGCUGAGAUUCUGCAUUUGCAGUAAGCUCCCAGCUGAUGCAGAU